UGAAAAUUUCCCCAUGUUUUUAGUAUGGCGAGUGAUGAGGAUGCGGUCUUUAGGUUUGUCCUCCACCUGCUGUGCCACUGACUUCCCACCGCUCUGCACCACACUGCCCUGGGGAACGACACACUCAGAGCACAGAAGAGAGCUAAGCAAACAAGAGCGACAGACCAACUCACCCAGAAUGAGAGCCAUCUGGCCACACAAGCAGUAGUAGACAAUGAGCGGCUUGUCUUCACUGUACUCCUGCUGGUCCUUGGCAUCAGAUACCACCACGCUGCCUGACACCACCUUGGGCAUGAUGGACACUCACCCUGCUCUCUUCCUGUAAACAUUAAGAAAGGCUGCUGAAGGACUGAGACUAGAACACUGGAGGGAACAGGACCUACGAAGCAGUACAAAGCGUAAAAGGUCACAAGAAGAAGAAGAAAAAGAAGGGAUAAACUUGUCUUCGGCUCCCACUGUUGCUACUUUUAAAUUUAAUUGUUAUUCUGUAUUUUCUGUCGUAACCUUCUCAAUGUUUUGAUAUUUCUCCUUGCAUCGUUAACCCCUUCAUGAAGUAUUUCCAUAUUCAUUCUGCUUACUAUUUGGUAAUUUUAUACAGCUUCGGAAACUCAUGUGAGGGAUUAAAAUAGUGAAGACUG